rnacentral:lncRNA from 1 species
CGCACAUGUGUAUAAUUUGAUAGUAAAGGAUGGUGUUUCUCAAUUUGGAAUUUCUUGUGAAAAAAUUAGACUUGCUUGUAAUUGGAUUUUUAAAGCUAAAAUAAAAGCUAGAAUUACAGAAUUUAAAAAUCGUUGUAAAGAAUGUGGACUUGAAUAUAGAAAAGUUCCAAAAGAAGUAUGCACUAGAUGGAAUUCUUUAUUUGAAAUGCUUCAAGUUGCUUAUAUUUAUCAAGAGCCGGUACAAUUAGUUUUUAAUGCUCAUAAUGCGGACCCGAAUUUGAGAAUUGGCUAUGAAGAUUGGGAAAAUACAAAAGAACUUAUUGAAUUUUUAAGUGUUUUUUAUAAAGCAACAAAUGUUGCUUCUGGUCAAUAUUAUCCAACUAUUUCUUCUGUUUUAGUAAAUAUUUGUGCUAUUUCAUCUGAAUUUGCAAAAUAUAAAGGAAAAGAUCGAUUUGAAAAUUCUCUUGCUUUUAUGAUUGAAAAAUUCAAAAAAUAUUUUUUCCCUAUUCCUCAAAUCUAUUUGACUGCUACUACUUUCAACCCAAAUUACAAAUUAAAAGGUGUUGAAAGAAUGGUUGAAAAGAUUUAUGCAAAUUUAGAAAUUAGAGAUGAUGAAACUCCUAGUGUUGAAGAUUGUAAAAGUAGCAUAUAUAUAAAAGCUAGAGAGUUAUAUAAUACAUAUAAAUCUAUGGAAAAAAAUAUUCCAAUAGUUGAACCUCCAUCUUGUAGGCCUAGAAGUGAUGAUACGGAUGAUUGGAUGGAUGAUUAUCUUGAGCUUGAAUCAUCUACUAAUAAUGAUUUUGAUUUAUAUUUCAAUCAGGGGGAAAAGAUUAGGCAUGAAGAAGGACAACUUCAAGCUCCAAUAUUAGUAUGGUGGAAGAAUUGUGAAAAUCAAUUUCCGACCUUGCUAGGAUUGUUCGAGAUGCGCUAGCGUUCGGAGCAAGCCUUUCGUGUGGCGAGAUUUAUGAUUGGAGAUCAUCGAUAUUCAUUAGCAAAGGAUAGUUUGGAAAUAUCGGUGUUGUUUCGAUAUUGGGUCAAUGCCGAAAGAAGAAAUACCAAACUAUCACAAAUAAAUAGCCAAAUAGAAGACGAAAUAGAUGAAAUAUUUGGUGAUAAUAGUGAUGAUGGCAUGGAAGCAAUGGAAGAAUACAAGUUCCAAAAAAUGUUUCUUUUGAAAUGAUACAAAUUAAAGUUACGAAAAGAUUUUUAAAAAAGUUUCAAUUGUUAGUAGUUAGUACUUAGUACAAUAAUUAAUAUUCAAUACCUAGAUUAUGUACUCUUUGUCUCUUUCUAAUAUUUGUAUUGUACAAUUUAUUUAUUUGAAUAAAUAUACGGCUAUUCGCCUUGAUUUUCUUUUAAAAAUAGUCUUUUAUAUUUAAUCCAACUAUCCAAGGCAUUUUACAAAUUUAAUUUUAAUUAUUUUAAUAUUAGUUUAAACUUUAAACUUUAAUAUAAAAUUAAAUUUUAAGAUAUAAACUUUAAAUUCAAUAUAAAUUUUAAACUUUAAAGUUUAAAGUCAAUUUUAAACUUUAAAUUCAAUUGAAACUUUAAAGUUUAAAGUUUUAAAUUGAAGUUUUUUAAUAAUAUAAUAUUAUAUAAUAAUUAAAGUUAAUAAAAAAAAUGCCGGUACACAAUGAUCCGGUAAGAACCGGUUCCGGUCCGAUCCAAAUCGGUUCCUAUCCGGUAACUAAGGGACUGGGUGGAACCUUUGGGAAUUUUUGAUAAAACCAGUUCCGGUAAGAUCCGAUUCCGGUAAAUAAAUUCGGUAACGUGUCCCGAUUUCGGUAAAAUCGGUCCUGUCCGAUUGCUAGCCUUAGCUUCAGCUGAGCUCUUGGACACUAUAGUUUGCUUCUUUGUCUUCCAUGACACCAAUGAGUUGCGUAUCUUAACCACAUAACCUGUUACUGAUCUUUUGGUAAGUGGACAACAUGCCCAAUCUGCAUCACAAAAUGGAGUGACUACUUCAUCAGAAGAUCUAGAAAACAGUUACCCCUGUCCAGGCUGUUUUUCAGAUAUCUCACUACUCUUAACGCCGAAUCCAUCUGGGAUUUCUUUGGCUGUUAUAAGAACUGGCUCAGGUUCUGUGUUUUGAAAGACAAGUCUGGUCUUGUCAUGUUCAGAUGCAACAGUUUUCCAAUUAACCUUUGGUACAUUGUCUGAUCUACUAAAGGAUCUUCAGGAGCUCCAUGUCUUUUCUUAUGUUCAUCAUACCCUUAUGCAGGCUUAGCUACUGACAUUCCAACCUCAGCUAUAAGUUUCAAAGCAUACUUUCUUUGAUGCAUCAAUAUACCCUCUGCUGACCUAGUGAACUCAAUGCCCAGAAAAUAUUUUAGUUCACCUAAGUCCUUCAUUUUAAAAACCUGUUGCAACUCCAACUUUGUCUUUUCUAUUAACUUCAAACUGCUGCCUGUAAUCAUCAUAUCAUCCACAUAUAUUAACACCACAAUAAUACAUGUUUCUGACUUAUUGACAAAUAGAGAAUGAUCAUAUUGACUUUGUUUGGAAUUGAGUAUAGUAAGAGCCUCAGUCAGCUUGUGGUUCUACUGCCUUGGAGCCUGUUUUAGCCUAUAUAAUGACUUUGUUAGUCUGCAUACUUUCUCCCCUUGACUAACAAAGCCUUGAGGGAGCUGCAUAUAAAUCUCAUCUUCAAGAUCACCCUGCAAAAAGGCAUUGAAAACAUCCAAUUGAUGAAUGUGCCAGUGUCUUUAAGCAGCUAAAGACACCACUGUCCUCAUAGUCACCAUCUUCACAAUAGGUGAAAAGGUUUCUUGAUAGUCUAUACCUUCCAACUGACUAUACCCCUUAGCAACUAACCUAGCUUUAAACCUUUAUAUCUCUCCUGUGGAGUUGUAUUUAAUUUUGUAAACCCACAUGCAACCAAUAGGUUUCUUUCCUGUUAGCAGAUCAGUUAUCUCCUAAGUUUUAUUAUCUUCAAGAGCCUGAAUCUCAGCCUUAAUAACAUCUACCCACCUAGUGUCCUUCACAAACUCUGAAUAGGUGGUAGGUUCUCUAACUGAAGAUGUAGCAACAAUAUAUGACUGAUAAGUAGGAGACAGAUGAUUGUAACUUAUAUAAUUGCACACAAGAUAUUUCACUUCUGAAUGCAUUUUUGAGGAGACAAAAUCUUUGAGCCAUGAAGGGGUAUGUUUGGUUCUUGUAGAUCUUCUGGGAACAGCUGGCAUACCAGUUUCUGUGACUGCUGGAACUGGUUCCUCAACUGGAGCAGAAACAUCUGAAGAGAUAACCUCAACAUUUGGUAACACAGAUGAACCUUCAAGACAGGAUAGUUCAUCAUUGAUAGAACUAGGUGUUUGAAAGGACUGAGUAGUGAAGGUAUCAAAUAGAACAACUAAAUUUGGCAGUGGAUUUUGAAACAAGGAAUGACUUUCAGGCAUCUUAAUCUGUGAGAAAGGAAACAGAUCCUCUCUAAAUAUAACAUCUCUGCUCACAAAGAAUGUCUUAGCAGUGAGAUCAAAUAAAGCAUAACCAUUAUGUGUCUCUGAAUACCCCAUAUGUACUGCAGACUUAGAUCUUGACAUCAUCUUGUCAUGUUUAACUAGAUUUUUGGCAAGACACAAACACCCAAUAGUUCUUAAGUGUGUCAAUCUAGGCUUACUUCCAUAUAAUCUUUCAUAGAGACUUUGAUAGUUAAGAACACUACUAGGAACUCUAUAGAUGAGAUAGGCUGCAGCUAGAACACAAUGUCCUCAAUAUUUCAAUGGAAUCUUACCCUGAAAUCUCAAUGCCCUUGUCACUUCUAGUAAGUGUCUAUGUUUUCUCUCAGCUACCCCAUUUUGCUGAGGGGUAUAAGGACAAGACCUUUGAUGAAUAAUACCCAAAUCCUGAAACAUUGUAGUACAAACUAAGUUUACAAAUUCAGUACCAUUGUCAGAUCUUAUCACCUUGACUUGUUUAGCAAAUUGAUUCUUAACAUAUUGUAGAAAAACAUUUAAUGCCACACACACAUCAAACUUGUAUUUAAGUAAGAAGAGCCAAGUCAUUCUGGAAAAAUCAUCAACAAUGGUAAGGAAAUACUUGUUGCCAUCAAAAGUAGACGUAUUGUAUGGACCCCAAAGAUCAACAUGAAUCAAGUCAAAGCUAUUACAACUUUUGUUACUACUAGAUGGAAAAGUAAGUCUAGUCUGUUUUGCAUAAGGACAUACUAAACAGUUGGAAACUUUACACAUACUAUUGAUAUUCUAAUCAAACAUUUUAGCUAGUACUAUAGAUGACACAUGUCCUAGCCUUUGAUGUCACAAUUCCAUAUCAGAUGAUAUUUGAGCUACUGUCAAUGCAGUAUUCUUUUCAUCACUUCCAGGACCUUGAGUAUACAGACACCCUGCUUCUUUACCAACCACUCUCACCUUCCCACUGUAAAGCUCCUGGAGAAUACAGAAGUUAAGGAAGAAUGUUACUGAACAAUCAAGUUCCUUUGUCAACUGAUUUACAAACAUCAAAAUAUACUUAAAUUUAGGUAAGUAAAAUACAUUGGAGAUAACACUCAUAUCUGUUAUUGCACAAGAACCAACAUGAGUGACCUGAGUAGUACCCCUAUUAGGCAGUUAUACAACUUUAGGAAUCUGUAAGUCUGACACAGAACCUUUUAUAAAUAUGUUCAUCUAAGAAACCAUGUGAUUUGUUGCACCAGAAUCUACAAUCCACACUUCAUUGUUCUCAGAUACAAACUAGGAUUUACAUACAGUGUGAGCAGCAAAAGUGGUAUUGCUCUCAAAUGUUGCAGUGCCUUGGUUUUGUGUGAGACCUCUAAGAAUAUGAUCAUACUGUUCUUUUGUGAAUGUGCAACCCUUCAGUAAUUGUUUCACAUUCAUCUCUGCUUGACUUGCUGCUUUUCCAAUCUCACUUUGUGCAGUAGCAAACUUCAGAUCACAUCAUGCUUCAUGCACAUUAGUAUUGAAGUCAUAAGAAAAAUGAGCCUGACCAGGAUUAUUGUAGCCUGAAGAAACACCACCUGGAGCAGGAUUAUUGUAACCUGAGCGAACACCACCUGGAGCAGGAUUGUUGUAGCCUGAAGGAACACCUUGAACUUAUUUUUGGACUUGAAAUCAGGAGGAUACCCCACAAUUUUGUAGCAAAAUUCUUUACUAUGACCCUUACAUUUACAGAAAUCACAAAUGAGAAGGGGGUUUCUUUUAAUCCUUUGAUUUACUCCUGAAGUAGAACCAACAACAUAUUUAGAGUACAUUGCCAUAGAAUCUAUACUCUCAGCACUCAGCCCUAUGUUGCUAAUGUGUGAAACCACGGCCUUUUGACUCUCAUCUCCUACUACCAUAUCAUACGCAUGAUUAACUGUUGGUAAGGGAUUCAUCAUUAAAAUUUGACUUCUAGCCUGAUUAUAAGACUCAUUAAGCCCCAUUAAAAACUGACAUAAUUUUUGUCUGCUCAGGUGAAUUACAAAAUCUUUCGACUUAGCACAAUUGCAUCCAGGAGAAGGAACUACAGCCUCAAACUCAUCCCACAAGGUUUUGAGUUUGGUGUAAUACGCAGAAAUAGAAACAGUUCCCUGUUGCAGUGACACAAUGUCUUUAUAAAGACUAUAGGUUCUCGACUCAUCUACUCUAUCAAAUCUCUCAUUUAAAUCACUCCAAACAUGAGAAACACUUGUAGCAAAUGCAAUUCUACUUAGUAAACUUUUUGACACUGAAUUCAUCAACCAUGAUAGUACUAUAACAUUCACUCUCUCCCAUUGUGCCCACAAUUCUUCACUGAACAUCUCUUUACUACAGGUUCCAUCAAUUAACCCCAGUUUAUUGCGUCCUAACAAUGCUAGUGUAAUCGAUCUAUUCCAUAGAGAGUAGUUUUCAAUUCCAAGUAAUUGAAACGAAAUAAGAUUCACUCCACUUAAAUUUGUAGGACUAAGAAAAAGAGGAUGACUGUAGUCAAUACCUUGCCCAAUUACAAAAUUAGGUAUCGACAUUGAUACACCUGUGUUUUCACCAUUGUUGCCUUGAAUCGAAUCUGCAGUUGUUCUCCCAUUCGUCAUCCUGAUUCAUUGUUGAUCAACAAUUGUUUGCGGAAGCUAAUUACUCAUCAAUUACCUACAGAUUUCACCCAAGAACUUGCGUAAAAGCUAUAGAUCAACUGACAAACUGAUGAAUCUGUAACUCGAUUAUAUGAUCCUCAAUUGAAAUCGCCUAUCACAGUAAUUAUUGUGUGUGGCUCUGAUAUCAUGAACGUAAAUGAACGAAGCUGAAUUAACACAAAAUCUCCAUUAACAAGGAGCUAACAUUGAAGGAGAGAAACUCUCAUUGUUUGAGCUCAAAGAUUAAUUGUUACAAUGCUGAAAAAUACUAUUUGUAGAUUCUAUCUUCUAACUAACUAACUAACUUGAAAGGAAUUAGUUAUAACAGACAAUACAAAAUGUCUAUACUACCCUUGAUCAUCUAGUGAAUUAACCAACUACUCACUACAUCACACUCAUAUCUCAUCAAGAAGCAAUAGUGUUAUUCCCACUUACUUUUCCGCAUCACUCGACUCCUUAACCUCCCAAUUAAUAACGGAGAUGCUCAACCACUAAAGCAGACUUUCUUUUCUAUCGUUAUUUUUAUUAAAUAGAGGAAUUUCUAAGUAACACUUGCAAACAAACGAAAAUGAGAUCACUUCCUUAGCAAAUACAACCAAAACUGAAAUCACUAUUUUAAUUUCAUAUUAAAAUCGCCUUCGGCCUUAAGAUUUAACUUUGAUUUUAUUGAACCAGAACUUGUUAAAUAAUACAUUCCAAAUUUGCUGAUCUUUCUGUUUGCUAGUGGGAACUUUGUUUUUAAUGCAAUAUCCAAUUUACACUCAGGGAAUUAAAUAAAUUCUAUCUUGUAUUAUGUGUAUAUAUAAUAGUAGUAAAUAAUAUAGAAUUAAAAAAAAAAAACUCCCUAUUUUGGAAAUACGUUGAGACGUCAUUGUUGACGGCAUAAUUCCGAACAAAAAGUAAAAGAAAAUGAGCGGAAGGCCAAGUCAAAUUUUACUUACUCCCUCUAUUCCAUAUUAUCUGGAUUUUCGAGGGUUUUUUUAGUUGUUCAAAAUAGUUUAAAGUUUAAGAUGAAUGUUUGAUUUAUUUAUUUUUUUCAUAUUUUUCCUUUUAUUUAUUGAAGUUUUAUAUUUUCUAGAAGACAAAAUUAUUACACUAUUUACAAAGGGCAAUACUGAAAAUUAUGAUUUAAAUUAUGUCGUUGAAUACUUUUCUUAAUAUGUAUGUAUUGCCUCAUAUGGAAUAGAUGAGUAUCAUUCAUUCACCUGUUGCUUUCAUAGACUCUUUACGUAUUCCCCAAGCCUAUGAAAUAAAUGAACAAUAUCUAUCUAUAAAUACACCUUCAUUACUACAUUCCCCAUUAACAAUACUCAAUUUUCUCCAAAUUUUCAGCCUUACUAACAAUCUUUUCUAAGCAAACUUGUUGAAUAUAAUGGCAGUGCUAGUGCUUAUCUUGCAGAAGCUUAUGUCACAAGGAAACAAUUCAAGGAAAAGGUGAUGGAGAAAAUGGACAAUAAUAAAGAAGUUGCGGAUAUUAAGAAGCUGAAAAAUUCAUCUUCUUCUUCUUCGGGUGGUGGUUGUUUUUCUCCCAUGAAACUAAUAUUCAAGAGAGUCCAUCCUAAUACUACGGCGGCUGCGCCGUCAUCCGAUGAGCCCUAACAGUUGCCGCCGGUAGAGUUCUCUUCUAGCUAGGGAUAUUUCUAAAGCCAAAACUGUAUUUAUUUAUUUAUUUAUUUCUGUUUUAUUUUAUUUUAUCAUGUCUUUGGAAUUAUAUAUAUGGAUUCAAAUUCAACCAGACUGAUAUGAUGAAAUAUGCUUAAAGAAUUUAAUUCUACAUUUCAUAUUACUCUCCUCUGUCUAACAAUAAGUCAAUACUUGUCCACUAUAUUAAAAAUAGAUGUCCAACAAUACUUGUUCACUUUAUGAAAUGCAUGGAUAAUUUUAUUCUUAGUCCCUAACUUACCCUUAUCAUUAAUUAUAGUCAUUUCCCUAUUACAUUUUUAAGACAUUGUAUUUAUUAUAUUCAAAGGGUGAUAUAGUACCCUUCUUGUCACGACCCAGACCAUCGUGAUUGACACCCACACUAACAAUUCGGUGGGAGAACCACUACUACAACUCAAACCAAGCAAUCAAUCUAAAAACUAAGGCAUAUAAGUCAAAUACUAAGGAAAGAAAAUAGAGUUUUCAUUAACUCUAACAAAAGUUCAACAAUAACUAACAAAUGCGGAAGAAUUAACCUAGAACCUGAAAAUCAAUAUAUCAAAAUUCUACUAACGACAAGUCUAAGAACAAGGGUUACAACCCCGAAACUAAACAACACCUUAAACAAAAGUCUGAAAAGAGUGGACUUAAACAAGAGAGAUCCAUGGCAGUCUGAAAGAACUGAUUCACCCUUGAAUCCGGUCACGAUCAUUAGUCACCUAGCUGAAGUCUAUCAAUAGCCACCUGAAAAUACUCUGUACUCAACAAAUAAAGAGCAAGUACAGUAUCAAUACACAACCACAAUGUACUAGUAGGAUCACGCGGCUAUCCCACUAAGUGUAACAUACAUUAGUCAAUACACUUUUGAUGUGUUGUGUUGUAGCUUCUUUCUUUUCGAGACUUGACAGUAAUAUCACAAUAUCAUCAGCUUCUAACUCUAUUGAGUCCAAAGUUAGGCUCUUUAGAGAGUUCCAAGCUAUGUUCAAUCCUUUAUCAAACACCCAAUGGCUCAAAUACAAUGUAAUCAAUGACGAACAAGUGUACAUAGUUAAAGGCAAUUCAUAAGCGAGAUCAUCAGCACUUGGAUAAAAACAUAAACCCGCAUCUAACGCAACAUCUUCUACUUUGUUUUCCACAGUAAAAUUGAGCCAUUGGCUGAUUUCCGAAUGAAAUUUCCAGUCUCUAUGAUGAAAAUCGAGUUUGAUUUUUUUGAUUUUGGAACAAGUUGAAUGAGUUAAAACGUUGUCCACAAAGGAUAUGAAGUUUUCGAGUUUGUUGUAAUUUCUAUUACUGAAAAGGAAAGUAUGAAUUGAAGUCCAGAGAUAACGCCACCUCUUUGAGAGAACACAUGAUUUGACGGCAUCUUCGGUCGGCAAAAGAGAGAGAAUUUGUACCAGGAGAACGUCCGGCAACUCAUUGAUACGAUCUAGGGUUUCGACUCCAUCUCCGGGGACUGUUCUUUGAGUUAAUUGUUUUUUGAGAUAAAAAUGACCAGAUAUCAUUGAAAUAUUUCAAAAAAAAUUAAUAUGGGGUGAAAGUGAUAUUUCUUGAAUAGUAUUGUUCUUUACUUUAGUCUUUACUCAAUUUGGUAAACAAACUUAACCAAUAAAACAGAAAAAUAAUAUGAAGAUAAGAAAAUUGUCAGCAAUAACUUUUCCUCGUGAGGUUAUGACUGUAAAUGACGGACACCAUUUAAGUACAAUUAUUCUCUUAGAUAUUAAUACUUGAAAUUUAAUAUGUGCAUGACACUAAGAACGAUUGUCAUAAAUAUUUUAAUAUUUUAUCUUUAAACAUGAUAUAUCUUUUACAAAAUAUUAUUAUUCAAUUAAUAUUUGAGUAAGGCUAUGAUAUAGAUGUAAUUUUACAAAAACAAAAAUUGUAAGUGAAUGUCAAUACUUUUAUAAGUAGAAUGUUAUAGAGAAAAAUAUAUUACGUCAAUAGUUAGUUUUAAUGAAAAUUAUCCUUUAGUUUGCCGCAUAUAUAUUAUAUAGAUGUUAUCUUAUGAGAGUAUCUAGUAUAUUAUAGAUGUUCUAUUGUGAUAUAAAACAUUAAACAUUUUCAAUUAAAAAAUUAAAAGAAGAAUAAAAUUUAAAGUAUUAUUUAUAGAAUCUUUAAUUUGAUUUAAGAUCAUUUUAUGAUUAAUCACUAUUUUUUUUAUCAUUUUUAUAUAGCUAGAAAAAAGUGUAUCUUGUGACAUAACAUUUUCUUAGAUCAAAAUGAACACAAAAUAACAGAAAAUUCAUACUUAAAAUAUCAUACUCAACAUAAAUAUAAAAAAAGUAAAAAUAUGUGGAUCAAUUCAUAGCCAAUGAAGAAGGAAGGCGAAAAUAUACGUUCAUGAUAUAUUCACCCUAGUGUUCAUUUGAUUGAAAUCUCUUGCCACUAAUACUUUACUUUCUCCAUUCAUUUUUACUUACAUAUAUAUUAAAAAAUUAUUAUUAUCAUGGUCAGAUUAUCAUAUUAUAAGUAAAAGUGAAAAUCUAUUUUUGAAAAAGUAGACUUAACAUCAAAACUAUUAAUUCAAUGGACUACAUUGAUGCCCGAUGUUUUAGCAAAAUUUGGAAGAAACUUCAAUUGAUGUUAAAAAAAUAAGAAAUGGAAAUACAAAAAAGAAAUAUCUUACCUCAAUCAUGUGUCUCUUUUGUAUUUGUUCAUUAUUAUUGUCUCUUCCACAUCUUUAUCUAUUUAUUUUAUUAGAAAAAAUAAUCAACAAUGUGUGUAUUUAAAUUCUCUCUCGAAUGAAAACACAAAAGAAAUUAUUCAAGAAACAAAAUAAGAAAAAUAAAUGAAAAUUUCCGCGCAGUAUAUAUAGAAGAUUUCUGUGUGAAGCAAAAUUCAUAGAUAAUUGCAUAUUUCCUUGUUCUCUUUUUUUCUUCUUUAAUAGAAAGUCAAUAGCUAAAUUCCUAUGCUAAGAACUUCGGCAAAACAUAUCAAUGGAUUGGGGAUGAAUCAUUUAUGAAAAAUUUAAAUGAUCUCAAAUUGUCACAGAAAAGAGAUCCCCAAGAAUUUAUAAGGAGUGAAUGGUUGUGAUUUAUGACCGAAGAAACAUGAAGGUAGAAAUUGAUGUGACUAUUAGUAGGAAAUUACUCUCUUUUUUUAAUGAAUAAAACAUGUAGGUUAAUUAAAAGAGUAUUAAUGUUCAAAAUAAUAUAAAUAAUAUUGAUGUAUACAUGUGAUGAGGAAAACAUUAGUGUGAAUUGAUGAAUGAUUUGCUACAAUUUGUUCACCAUCUCUUUCUUAUGUGGUACCUCAAAUUUCGUUGGGUUCCGAACUUAAUCAACUAUUGCAAAUAACAAUUGAGAUUUUUCAAGAAGAAGAAGAGUAUAAAACAUGAAAAAAUUGUAGUUUAAAAGUGAGAGGAAACCCCUAUAUUUAUAGUUAAUAAAUAGUAGUAUGAAUAUGUUCUGAUUGUGCCUUAUUAGAUAAGUUACAACCCUUCAAAAAACUCUCUGAUCAUCGGAAAAGACAUAACCCUUUGACUUAGUCACAACCCUUUGGAAAAGUCACAACUCAUCGCAAAAGUCACAAUCCAUUAAUGUGAAAAGGUAUCAACUUUUACUAUAACAUAAUUAAAUAAAUUGAGUAUUUUUAAUUGGGGAUAUUAUAGUAAUUCAACAUUCAUGUUGGGAGUUCAUGCUUUUAAGGUAGUAUAGAUAGAUAUAGAUUAAUUAAUAAUUCAUGGUUAUAAACUUAUAGUUUAGGUAUUUAUCAUUUAUAGCAAGAUGUUAGGCAAAAAAAAAAGGUGGCAUGUGAGUAUAUUCAUUGUAUUCAUAUACACAUUUAGGUUGUGAAUAUAGAUUGUAUCGAUGUAUAUUAUUCGGUGUAUACAAAUAUAAGCAACAAAAAAUAUAUGGUCUUUAUUUAUUCGAGCUAUAAUUUAACUUGUAUUCAUUUGCUCUAAUUUCACUUAUAUUUCUUGUAUUCCUACGUGCAUUUAGACUAUAUUAACUAAUACAAUUUGGGUGUAUAUAAAGUACAAAAGAUACCAUGUACGCAUUUGCUCUAAAUUCACUUGUACUCAUUCGUUUUAAUAUAAAAAUACAAUUACAGAGAAAAAGGGGCGAAAAUAUUUAUGAUUUCUUAAGCACCCUAUAAAAUAGAAAGUGAUCAAAACAUUCAACAAAAGCAGAAUGAGCUUUCGAAAUCGGUAAUGUAAAGUUGAUAAGUACUAAAUAUUGAAUUUUUACCGAAAAUUAAAUUCUUGUACGAUAAUUUAAAAAUUAUAUAUUUAAUAAAAAGAAAUUUUUAUAAGAUUGCAUAAUAUAUAUGUCCAGUAUUGCUUUUAGAAAAAUCACAUAUAAAGGUUGUAGAUUCUCUCUCUCAAAUCCUAACAUUAUAAAUUCAUCAGUUUAGAUCAAUUAAAAUGUGUAGUGUUGUAGUCUGUGGGUACAUAAUAGCUAGUGGUUUACAGUAAAUUAAAAGUUGGUGGUGAUGAUUGAUAGUGAUAGUUAAUGACGAUGAUGAUUGUUGACAGUGGUGGACGAUAUAGAGUACUACUAGUGACUAUAUAUGGUGAUAAUUGUCAAUAGUGAUUAAUAAUGCAUUAUUAUAAAUAUAGUUGAUAGUAAUAAUUGUAAAUGAUGGCGAAUGAUGAUAACUAUCAACAAAGGUGGUAAUGUUAAUUACUCAGUUGAUAAUCGUGGGUGGCAACGAAAACAACAACAUUCAUUCACCUGUUGCUUUCAUAAAAAUAAUUGGUUCACUCUUUACGUAUUCCCCAAGCCUAUGAAAUAAAUAAAUAAAAUAUCUAUCGAUCUAUAAAUAUCUCUUUAUUAUUAUCAUCAUUCGAUCCAUAUAUUUCCAUUAACAAUACUCUUAAAUAAAUUCCUCAAGGAUUUAUUUCUCUAAAAUUUCAGCAUUGUUGAAUAUAAUGGCGAGUGGUAGUGCUUAUCUUGCGGAAGCUUAUGUCACAAGGAAAGAAUUCAAGGAAAAGAUAAUCGAGAAGAAAAUGGACAGUGAAGCUGUGAAUACUAAGACGCUGAAAAAUACAUCGUCUUCUUCUUCGGGUUGUGGUUGCUUUUCUCCCAUGAAAAUAAUAUUCAUCUAAACAGUACUACUACUACCCCUCAUCGGGUUCCGCCGUGAUCAUGAAACUGGACAGUGGCCAGUUUCCACGUGAUCAAAGGCGAAACCCGGGAAUGAAGACGACGGGAGCACUACUAGAGACUGAUGUUGGUUAGUCAAAACUUUAUCGGAAAAUGUUACUAUAUAUCAAACAAGUAUAAAAUCAAAGGUAUUGAAAUAAAUAUAAAUUAAACAAAAAUACAACAUGGUUCUUUGUAUAUAUGAUUUAUGAUCUUGACCCGUGUACAAUUUGAGGUUGCUAAUUCGAAUUUUGCCUCAGCUUUUUAUAUGCAUUUUUUUUUUUAUAUAAUAAAAAAGAAGAAGAUGACAAUAAGAAAACGCAAUAAUCAAGAAUUGAAUUCGGGACAGUUUGCUUCACGAUCAGUGUUGGACCAAUGCACCAAUUCAGCUUACGUAUAUAUACAUAACUUCUUUCUAAGCUAAUUAACGAGUGUAUGUAUUGAAGUCAGUAAUAUGGUUAGUUCAGUUAGUUACUGUGGGCCUGGCAGCUAGGUGAUUAGCACUCAUAAGAAGUUAGUUAAAAAGUGCAGUGAGUUAGUUAUCAUUCAUGACAAUUAGAAUGAGUGAUCAUAUUGUAUAAAUACAUUGUAUUUCUGUUCAUAUUAUUCAUAAUGAAUAUAGUCUUCUUUCUUCUCUAGUUACACUUUCAUAGAUCUGUAAGAUCAAAUCAAAGUUUAUGAAUGUCAAACUCAAUUUAUAGUCUUCUUUCUUCUCUAGUUACACUUUCAUAGAUCUGUAAGAUCAAAUCAAAGUUUAUGAAUGUCAAACUCAAUUUAUAGUCUUCUUUCUUCUCUAGUUACACUUUCAUAGAUCUGUAAGAUCAAAUCAAAGUUUAUGAAUGUCAAACUCAAUUUAUAGUCUUCUUUCUUCUCUAGUUACACUUUCAUAGAUCUGUAAGAUCAAAUCAAAGUUUAUGAAUGUCAAACUCAAUUUAUAGUCUUCUUUCUUCUCUAGUUACACUUUCAUAGAUCUGUAAGAUCAAAUCAAAGUUUAUGAAUGUCAAACUCAAUUUAUAGUCUUCUUUCUUCUCUAGUUACACUUUCAUAGAUCUGUAAGAUCAAAUCAAAGUUUAUGAAUGUCAAACUCAAUUUAUAGUCUUCUUUCUUCUCUAGUUACACUUUCAUAGAUCUGUAAGAUCAAAUCAAAGUUUAUGAAUGUCAAACUCAAUUUAUAGUCUUCUUUCUUCUCUAGUUACACUUUCAUAGAUCUGUAAGAUCAGAUCAAAGUUCAUGAAUGUCAAACUCAAUUAAGUGUUUGGAUUCACAACUUAUCAUGGUAUCAGAGCAGGGAUCUCUGCUCUAGAUCGUCUUCCGCAAAGUACAUUUUCCAGCUUGUCAUUAGCUUCAACAAUGGCAGAUUUGAUAGUUGCCACUCUACCACAUCAUCAUCCACUGUAUUUACAGUCUUCAGAUACACCAGGUGUAGCCUUACACACGAUCAAGCUUACAGGACCAGAAAACUAUGGACUAUGGAGUAGAUCGAUGAGGCUGGCAUUAUUGGUGAAAAAUAAGCUAGGUUUUGUAGAUGGAACCUGCCUGAAGAGUCUGUACAAAGAUGAAUUGGCUGCUCAAUGGGAGAGGUGCAAUGCAGUGGUUCUAUCAUGGAUUAGCAGUACAGUGGCUCCAAAUUUGCUAACUACAAUCAUGUAUGCAUCAAAUGCUAGAAAAGUUUGGGAGGAUUUCAAAGAAAGGUUUGACAAAUCAAAUCUCACAAGAGUUUAUCAGUUGUGGAUAGAUGUUGCAAGCCUUAAGCAAGGUACUGACUCUGUCACUGACUAUUAUUCCAGAUUAAGAGACUUAUGGAAUGAGUUUGAUGUACUUGUACCAUUUCCUUCUUGUGAAUGUGCUGAAGCAAAGUCCUACACGAAUCACUUGCAUCAACAGAGAUUAUUGAUGUUUUUGAUGGGGCUGAAUGAAGCCUAUAGUCAUGUAAGGAGUGAUAUACUUCUUAAAUCAGAAGCACCUAGUGUUAAUCAAGCUUACUCUAUUGUAGUGCAAGAAGAAAGUCAAAGAGUGUUAGGUGUAGGUUGAUUCCUACAAAGAGCCACUUACUAUGUUGGCUGGUAGAGGACAAAAUUACAAAGGAAAAAACCACUUCUAGAUACUCCAUGUGAGAUCUGUGGAUUUAGAAAUCACAUUACUGCUGACUGUUAAAGACUGGUAGGGUAUUCAUCAGAUUUUAAAAGCAAAAGGAAACCUCCACAAACAGGAUCCAAUACAUCAAGUUCUUAUCAUUGUGGUGCUAGUGCUGGCAUAUCUGGAAACUCUAGUCAUACAGGUACUGGUAAUUUCAGAUCUUAUGCUAAUAAUGCAGCUGCUGAUAAAGAAGACAAGGGUCACAAUGAGCUUAGCAAUGAUGAACUAGAUAAGGUCAGGACAAUGCUGCAUCAUAAGGACACACAGGAAUGCCAAGCCAAUAUGACAGGUAAUGUGUCUCUUUCAAGCUCACAAUGUGUACAUGAAUGGAUAUUGAUUCAGGAGCGACACAUCAUGUUACCUCUUGUAAAAGCUUGUUGCAUGACUUGAAACAACUAAAGGGAUCCAAUACAGUACAACUACCAACAGGACUAAGAGCAGGCAUACUGCAUACUGCAUACUGGAAGCUCCACUAUUUUAGGGGAUCUUAAGUUGAAAGAUGUCUUGCAUGUACCUGAGUUCAAGUUCAGCCUAAUAUCAGUAGCCAAACUAACUAAGGACAUGUCUUGUAGUGUUAGUUUCUUUCCUAACAUUUGUAUAUUACAGGAUCUCUACAAUGGCAAGGUGAUUGGGAUUGGUAGAGAACACAAUGGUCUAUAUCUGUUAAAAGAUGAAAUAACUGCAGUUGCAGGGACAUCUGUUAGAACAGGGAAUCAGACUGAUCUAUGGCACAUCAGACUUGGCCACCCAUCUCUUAAAGCAAUGCAACACAUCUCUUCUCUCAAGGAUCAUGUGGAUGCUGGCAAGCCCUAUUGCUGUCAUACUUGCCCUUUAGCUAAGCAACGUAGAUUAGUUUUUCCUGUGAGUCAUAGUGCUUCAGAUCAUUGUUUUCAGUUAAUACAUGUAGAUGUAUGUGGACCUUACAAGACACCUACAUAUGACAAGAAACAGUAUUUUGUUACAAUUGUUGAUGAUUUUAGUAGGUUUACCUGGAUAUGUCUCAUUCAAUACAAAACUGAAGUGACUCUCAUUUUGAAAAAAAUUCUGACCAUGAUUUCCACACAGUUCAAUACUAAAGUACAGGUUGUUAGGACAGAUAAUGGUACAUAAUUCUUUAAUAUGGGUUGUAAUACUCUUUUUUCUUCCCUUGGUAUUGUACAUCAAAGUUCUUGUGCUUACACUCCACAAUAAAAUUGAGUGGUUGAGAGAAAUCAUAGGCAUAUUUUGGAGACUGCUAGGGCCUUAAGAUUUUAUAGUGGAAUGCCUAUUAAAUAUUGGGGUCAUUGUGUCAAAACAGCUACAUAUUUGAUUAACAAAGUCCCUAGUAGUGUAUUACAGGGCAAAUCUCCUUACACUGUGCUAUAUGGGAAGGAGCCUAACCUAAAUCACUUGAGGGUUUUUGGUUGUUUAUCCUUUGCAUCUGUCUUGCCCAGGCUAGAUAAGUUUGCUCCAAGAGCCAAAAAGGCAGUUAUGAUGGGUUAUUCAGAAACUCAAAAGGGAUAUAGACUAUUGAACCUGGAGAAUAAUCAGUUCUUUAUUAGUAGGGAUGUUACUUUCAUAGAGGACAUGUUUCCUUUCAAAGAAGAUCCUCAAGUGCCAGUGGAGUUAAUAUUGCAUGUUUCUGAAAUAUUUGUUAUUGGAGAUGAUAAGGUGCUUGAAACUAGCAAUCAUGACACACCAGUUAUAGUGUCACAUGAGUUACCUGAGGGAUUAGAAGCUGCAGAAGAGGUUAUUGUGCCUGAGCACUCACCUCAUGUUGACACACACAGAUGAAUUGAUCCAGCUCCAGUUGAAACAGUUGAUCCUGCUGAUGUUGCAGUUCCACCUGAAGAGACCAGAAGAACUAGGAAGCCACCCUUGUGGCACAAAGAUUAUAUAGUUCCACAGAAGAUCAAUUCAUCUUGUUUAUAUCCUAUUGAGGAUUACUUAUCCUACUCUAAUCUGAGUCGCACUUAUCAAUCCUAUGUAGCUGCAGUUUCUGGGGUUGUAGAGCCCUCUAAUUUCAGAGAAACAUCUCUUGACCAGGAGUGGAUAGAUGCAAUGCAGGCUGAGGUGAAUGCAUUGGAACAAAAUCAAACUUGGACCAUUGUUGAUCUGCAUAUUGGAAAGAAAGCUAUUGGGUCAAAAUGGGUGUACAAAAUCAAACAUAAAGCCAAUGGUGACAUAGAAAGAUACAAAGCAAGGUUGGUGGCCAAAGGGUACAACUGGCAGGAAGGCUUAGACUACCAUGAAACCUUUUCUCCAGUAGCCAAAAUGGUCACUGUGCGAACUGUUAUUGGAGUUGCAGCAUCUCACAACUGGCCUUUGUAUCAAAUGGAUGUGCAUAAUGCCUUCCUACAAGGUGACUUGACUGAAGAAGUAUACAUGACAUUACCUCAGGCCUUCCAGAGGCAGGGGGAGAACAAAGUUUGUAAACUUCUCAAGUCUCUAUAUGGACUUAAACAAGCCUCUAGGCAAUGGAAUCUUAAGCUGACUGAUGCUUUGGUUGAGGCUGGAUAUACACAAAGUCCCUAUGAUCAUUCACUAUUCACUAAGAAGAUUGGAACUGAUGUUGUUGUGGUCUUAGUAUAUGUGGAUGACCUACUCAUUACAGGUAGCAGCAAUAAAAUGAUUCAAGACAUAAAGGAUGCAUUGCACAACAACUUUAGCAUGAAGGAUCUUGGAGACCUUAGAUAUUUUCUAGGGAUUGAGAUACUGAGAUCAAGGACAGGAAUACUACUGAACCAAAGAAAGUAUGCACUAGAGCUGAUUUCUGAUUGUGUACUAAGUGGUUCUAAGCCAGCAGCUACACCAUUGGAGCCUAAUAAGAAGUUCACCUCAGUGGAUUAUGAUGAAUUCACAGGAAACACUAGUGAUCCUUUGUUCAAAGAUGUUACAGCCUACCAAAGGCUUGUUGGGAGGUUGUUGUACUUAACCAUAACAAGACUUGAUAUAUGCUUUGAUGUACAAGUACUGUCACAGUUCAUGCAAAGGCCAAAGAUGUCUCAUUGGGAAGCAGGGAUGAAACUAGUGAGAUACAUCAAGGGCUGUCCAGGGCUAGGAAUACUGCUAAGCAGUGAACCUAGUACACAGUUAGAAGGAUUUUGUGAUUCAGAUUGGGCAGCAUGUCCCAACACAAGAAGAUCAGUGACGGGGUAUACAAUAAAGCUAGGAAAUUCUCUUAUUUCUUGGAAGUCAAAGAAACAACAUACAGUGAGCAGAAGCUCAGCUGAAGCUAAAUACAGAAGUAUGGCUGCAACAGUUUCAGAAAUUAUAUGGCUGGUGGGAAUCUUAAAGGAGCUGAAUGUGAAUAUAGAGACACAUGUUAGGCUACAUUGCGACAGUAAAGCAGCAAUACAAAUCAGUGCUAAUCCUAUAUUCCAUGAGAGGACAAAGCAUAUUGAGAUUGACUGUCAUUUUGUGAGGGAGAAAGUCAAAGAUGGACUAAUACAGACAGAGUAUGUCAACACUAAAGAGCAACUAGCAGACCUGCUGACGAAAGGCUUGGGAGCUGCACAACAUCAUCUAUUAUUAGGCAAACUUGGAGUAUUUGAUGUAUACACAAACUCCAGCUUGAGGGGGAGUAUUGAAGUCAGUAAUAUGGUUAGUUCAGUUAGUUACUGUGGGCCUGACAGCUAGGUGAUUAGCACUCAUAAGAAGUUAGUUAAAAGUGCAGUGAGUUAGUUAUCAUUCAUGACAAUUAGAAUGAGUGAUCAUCUUGUAUAAAUACAUUGUAUUUCUGUUCAUAUUAUUCAUAAUGAAUAUAGUCUUCUUUCUUCUCUAGUUACACUUUCAUAGAUCUGUAAGAUCAAAUCAAAGUUCAUGAAUGUCAAACUCAAUUUAUAGUCUUCUUUCUUCUCUAGUUACACUUUCAUAGAUCUGUAAGAUCAAAUCAAAGUUCAUGAAUGUCAAACUCAAUUUAUAGUCUUCUUUCUUCUCUAGUUACACUUUCAUAGAUCUGUAAGAUCAAAUCAAAGUUCAUGAAUGUCAAACUCAAUUUAUAGUCUUCUUUCUUCUCUAGUUACACUUUCAUAGAUCUGUAAGAUCAGAUCAAAGUUCAUGAAUGUCAAACUCAAUUAAGUGUUUGGAUUCACAACUUAUCAGUAUGGACACCCCCUACCGCCUUUGCACGUGACGUGGUUAAAACAACAAGAUUAAAUGAUAUUUGAUAUAUUUAUACAUUUUUAAUUUAAAAUUAUAAUUCAAAAAUUUUCUUUUACUUUCUUAAAUUUCAUUUCAAAUUGAAAUGGAACAAAUAAAUUAAAACGAAAAGGGUAUAUUUCUUCAUCUUUCAUCGAUUUUAUUUUAAUAUCUAAACAUAUGAAAGAGAAAAUAAACAAGUCUAUUUGUUCAAAAUAAUGUUACGGGAAAUACUGAAAUUCUUACGUAGUAUCGCAUUUUAGUUAGUCGAUCAUUUCACAUGAAAAGGUUACAACCACCAAAGUUAUAUAGUAGGGGGGCUAAAUAAUUCAAUACUUAUCAUCGUUAUGUAAAGGCAUCGGAUUCAAAAUUGCAGAAUAAAUUGUCUUUUGACAAAAAACUUUUACCAUAAAUUAAAAUUUCCGUACUAUAAAUAUUCAAGAAAUUAAUUGGUACCCACACAAAUUGUAUGCAGGGGUUCGAAAAUAAAAUAUGGUGCCUAAAAUUUGAAGUAUAUUUUACAUAAAUCACAUAGUGUUAAGAGCUUAUUACAUUAUUUUCCUACUCUUUUUCAAAGUACAAACUAAAUCCCUUAAAAUUUAUGGAUUUCGGAUACAUCACUAGACUUUCAGAUACAUCACUGGACAUCCGGAUAUAUAGGUGAGGGAUGUAUCCGAGAGGGGAGGGAUGUAUCAGAGAGGGGAUAGGACAUCCGGAUACAUCACCGGACUUUCAGAUACAUCACUGGACAUCCGGAUACAUAGGUGAGGAUGUAUCAGAGAGGAGAGAGAUGUAUCGGAGAGGAGGAUAAGGAUGUAUCAGCCAGAGGAGAGUAAUGUAUCCGAGAGAGGAUUUUUGAACUUUUUUAAAAUAAUAGGAAAUUUUAGAGAUUAUGGUAAAAUAAAAUGUGUAUUUAGGUAAUUUUUCCAAAUUGAAACAUAGAACAUGAAUUUUGAAGUCUUCAAAUCACUAAAUUAACCUCUAGUCUUGCAAGCACGAAAUCCUUAGUCCACAUCACGGGUCAACGUACAUUUAUAACUAACCCCCAUAGAGGUUAUACUAGCUCUAAUAUAGCCAACAUUGCCACAAAUAUAAUUAGAUUGAAUCAGUAAAAAGAUAAUUAGAAAGUUUUCCACUAUGCAACGAAAACAAAAACAUUCAUUCACCUGUUGCUUUCAUAAAAAUUGGUUCACUUUUUACGUAUUCCCCAAGCCUAUGAAAUAAAUAAAUAAAUAUCUAUCGAUCUAUAAAUAUCUCUUUAUUAUUAUUAUCAUUCGAUCCAUAUAUUUCCCAUUAACAAUACUCUAAAAUUCCUCAACAAUGUCGAGUGGUAGUGCUUAUCUUGCGGAAGCUUAUGUCACAAGGAAACAAUUCAAGGAAAAGAUAAUCGAGAAGAAAAUGGACAGUGAAGCUGCGAAUAUUAAGAAGCUGAAAAAUACAUCGUCUUCUUCUUCAGGUGGUUGUGGUUGCUUUUCUCCCAUGAAAAUAAUAUUCAUCUAAACAGUACUACUACUACCCCUCAUCGGGUUCCGCCGUGAUCAUGAAACUGGACAGUGGCCAGUUUCCACGUGAUCAAAGGCGAAACCCGGGAAUGAAGACGACGGGAGCACUACUAGAGACUGAUGUUGGUUAGUCAAAGCAUUGGAAAAUGUUACUAUAUAUCAAACAAGUAUAAAAUCAAAGGUAUUGAAAUAAAUAUAAAUUAAACAAAAAUACAACAUGGUUCUUUGUAUAUAUGAUUUAUGAUCUUGACCCGUGUACAAUUUGAGGUUGCUAAUUCGAAUUUUGCUUCAGCUUUUUAUAUGCCUUUUUUAUAUAUAAUAAAAAAGAAGAAGAUGACAAUAAGAAAACGCAACAAUCAAGAAUUGAAUUCGCGGGACAGUUUGCUUCACGAUCAGUGUUGGACCAAUGCACCAAUUCAGCUUACGUAUAUAUACAUAACUUCUUUCGAAGCUAACGAGUGUAUGGAAUAAUGGAACCCCCCCCUACCUCAAACAUGGGUCUGCAUUUGCAGGUGACGUGGUUAAAACAACAAGAUUAACUGAUAUUUGAUAUAUUUACACAUUUUUAAUUUAAAAUUACAAUUUAAAAUUUUACUUUUACUUUCUUAAAUUUCAUGUCGAAUUGAAACGGAACAAAUAAAUUGAAACGAAAAGAGUAUGUUUCUUCUUUUAGUCGGUUUUAUUUUAAUAUCUAAGCAUAUGAAAGAGAAAAUAAAACAAGUCUAAUUUGUUCAAAAUAAUGUAACGGGAAAUACUGAGAUUCUUACGUAUUAUCGCAUUUUAUUUGUCGAUCAAUUCACAUGAAAAGGCAUCGGAUUCUAAAUUGCACCAUCAUCGGUUAUGUAAAGGCAUACUUAUCACCACCAAAGUUAUAUAUAGUAGGGUGGCUAAAUAAUUCAAUACUUAUCAUCGGUUAUGUAAAGGCAUCGGAUUCAAAAUUGCACAAUAAAAUGGAUCGGCCUCCUUUCCAUUUCUCUUCUCUCCAUUUUCCUCAAGUUCUUACUUGAAUGUGAGACACACGGGCCACGACAUAGGUAAAAAUUAACGAUUAAGAUUUAAUUGAAUUAAAAUAAGAUUUUAAUUAUAAUUUAGAUAAUUAAUAAUUCAUAAGAAAAAUGACAAUACUACAAUCAUAACAAUAUAUUAUCUUGUUCAUAAAUAUAUUAUUUAAAAAAUACCUUUUUCUAAUCUUUUUCUUUCUAGUAUUAUCUUCUGUUUUUGUCCAUAAAUAUAUUAUAAAAUAAUUUCUCUUUUUCUAAUUUUUUUCCGUGCGAUUAUUUUUGCAAUUAAUUAUAUGUAAACUAGUUUUAAAGAGAAAAUUCAAAGUUGCUAUCUAAUACUUACUCAAAUUUAUUUUUUAAAAACGGAAGAUAAAUACUCGUAGGAAAAAAAAUAAGAAAGAGAAAAGUUUUUAUAAUAUAUUUAUGGACAAGAUAUUAUAUUGUUAUGACUUAUGAUUAUGUUAUUAUUAUUUUUCUUAUGAAAUAUUAAUUAUCUAAAUCAUAAUUAGAAUCUUAUUUUAAUCAAUUAAAUCUUAGCCAUUAAUUUUUAUCUAUGACAUGUGUCUCACAUCUAAGCAAGAACUUGGAGAAAAUGGAGAGAAGGAAAAUGGAGAGAAGCCGAAUCUGAAUAAAAUUGUCUUUGACAAAAAACUUUUACCAUAAAUUAAAAUUUCCAUAUUAUAAAUAUUCAAGGAAUUAAUUGGUACCCACAUAAAUUGUAUGUAGGGGUUCAAAAAUAAAAAUGGUGCCUAAAAUUUGAAGAACUUCAACAAUACUACUCACUUCAAGAAUGCUCAACUCAGAGGGUUCAUGCGGAAUUUAUGAGCAUGAACUACUCAACUCAAGAUACUUCUCAAAAGGGCAUAGGAACUCAACACUUAUAAGCUUAAAACUUGAAGAUACCACUUCUCUGAAAGAAGCUCAACUUACGAAGUUCAUACGGAAUUAUGGGCAUGAAACAACUCGACUCGAUGAUCUACAUAACAACAUGGACUCAUGUAUAUGAAUCUUCUCAUUCUCUUACUUACUUUCUCAGAACUUAGUUCAAAUCGAUAGUUGAUCUCAAAGGAUUCACAAUUGAACUCAAAAAUCGAUAGUUGAUCUCAAAGGAUUCACAAUUGAACUCAAAAAUCGAUAGUUGAUCUCAAAGGAUUCACAAUUGAACUCAAAAAUCGAUAGUUGAUCUCAAAGGAUUCACAAUUGAACUCAAAAAUCGAUAGUUGAUCUCAAAGGAUUCACAAUUGAACUCAAAAAUCGAUAGUUGAUCUCAAAGGAUUCACAAUUGAACUCAAAAAUCGAUAGUUGAUCUCAAAGGAUUCACAAUUGAACUCAAAAAUCGAUAGUUGAUCUCAAAGGAUUCACAAUUGAACUCAAAAAUCGAUAGUUGAUCUCAAAGGAUUCACAAUUGAACUCAAAAAUCGAUAGUUGAUCUCAAAGGAUUCACAAUUGAACUCAAAAAUCGAUAGUUGAUCUCAAAGGAUUCACAAUUGAACUCAAAAAUCGAUAGUUGAUCUCAAAGGAUUCACAAUUGAACUCAAAAAUCGAUAGUUGAUCUCAAAGGAUUCACAAUUGGGGUUGGAAAGUAGAUUCAAUUACCUUUAAUUGGAUAGGUUAUGGCUCACGUAACUCUUAAUAUUCUAACAGAUAUGGUCGUUUAAAGUUGACCUAAGCAGAAUCUUACUUCAAAACUUCAAGAACACUUAUCAAGAACUCAUCAAGAACUUAAAUCCUUAAAUUUCAAGAACGAAAUUACGCUGAAUAAAUCAUGAUUGGCGUGUGGGUGAAAGAACCCAACACUAUGGAAGCUUACAUACCUCUUAGGGAGUAAACCCAUGGCAAAAAUCCGCAACAUGCAAGUAUCUCGACGAACGCUUUCAUCCUUUCUCUUUUCUCUUCCUCUUUUCUCUUCUUGAACUCUCAACAAAAACCCUAGGCGUAAACUAGAAUUAUAAAACUGAACCUAGUCAGAUUAGACCCCUAAAAUAUUACUAAAACGAAUUAAAUCUGAUGGGUAAGGAAAAGACCAAAAUACCCCUCUAAAAUCCGGUUUUGACUUUCUUUAACUGGACAACCUAACUUCAAAAGGUCAUAUCUCACUCAUCCGACAUCGAAACUUAGCAAACUUGGCGGCGUUGGAAAGAUAAGUCAAAGGUAUUUCCUACGGUAUCUGGUAGCACACCUAACUCAUACUGAGCUAGGAGUUAUGGUCGUUUGAAGUCAACCCAAAAAUCAUACGUAGCUUAACUUGCAAAAUUUCAGAUUUUGCUAUUUCCAAUUUAGUUCUUUUUCGAACUAAAGGUGUUACAUUUAGUGAACUUAACACUUAAGAAAUUUUAAAUUUCUCGGCAAAAUCCUACUCACAACGAAGGAUGGUUCAAGUCUUAGCUCAAAAUUUUCUGAGGUGUUACAUAUUAGAGGGGAUAGGACAUCCGAAUACAUCAUUGGACAUCCAGAAACAUAGGUGAGGGAUGUAUCAGAGAGGAGAGAGAUGUAUCAGAGAGGAGGAUAAGGAUGUAUCAGCGAGAGGAGAGUAAUGUAUCCGAGAGAGGAUUUUUGAACUUUUUAAAAAUAAUACGGAAUUUUAGAGAUUAUGGUAAAAUAAGAUGUGUAUUUAGGUAAUUUUUCCAAAUUGGAACAUAGAACAUGAAUUUUGAAGUCCUCAAAUCACUGAAUUAACCUCCAGUCUUGCAAGAACGAAAUCCUUAGUCCACAUGCUAACACACGGGUCAACGUACAUUUAUAACUAGCCCCAUAGAGGUUAUACUAGUUCUAAUAUAACCAACAUUGCCACAAAUAAUUAGAUUGAAUCAAUAAAAAGAUCAUUAGAAAGUUUUUCACUAUUUCAUUGCAUGUGAAUUUGUUUUUCACCGUGCAUUUUUUCAAUGAGUUAUUUUUGGUGGAAAAUAAUGAAGAAAAAAAAUCUUAUUCAAUACAAAUUUAUCACUAAUUCGUAAUUGGGAAAAAACCUUUGUUUCUAGCAAUGAUGACUAGGAAAGAAAAUGGAAAUGAGCCUUAAUUAUAGUAUGUCACAAUAUGGUAGGGCCUAAAGUACAGUCAUUGUCCAAUAUUAUCUAUUGAUACGAUGUAUGGCUCAAAUUAAAUAGAAGAGUUCCACGAAAAUAUGGAUCAAUAAUAAUAAUUCCUAUCCAUUGUGUUGGCUACAAGAAAGCUAAUUAAUUAGUCAAUUUACUUUGGCUUCAAGGUCGUCAAACAUAACAGUCAUACCAAAAAAUUCAACAAAAACAGCCAAACCAAAUGAAUAAUGCAUGCAAAUUGCAAUGCCACGAAAUUUCUAAGCUCAUUCCCAUUUGUGCCUAUAAAUACCAUAAUAAUAUUGAUGAACCCAAUAUCAAUAUCUCCAUUUUAAGUUUGUUCCUUAUAUUUUGCUAAAAUCUGAAAUAUUAAUUCUUGCUUCACAUAGAAAUUACAUAUAUAUCAAGCAUGUCGGGUAGUACUUAUCUUGUUGAGACUUAUGCCAUGAAAAUGCUUUACAAGGAGAGGAUGAAGACAUUGGAGAAGGAAGAAGCUACAACACAUGAAAUUAUUUGUAAGGAUCAGUCGAAAGAAUCGUCUUCUUCUUCUGGUGGUUGGUUCACUAAAAUGUUCAAGAAAGUACAUCCCGUUACAACUUCCUCCUCGGAUUCUGCUACAAAAUCAAGAACGUUCUAGCGUCUAGAUAGUCUCACAUUGAUGGAGAAAACAAAUUGUUAUCUCGCGUACGUCAUGAACAAUAUUCACUUAAUUAGUUAUUUGAUUUUUUUUAUAUAAAAAAAAAAGUCGAAUUAGAUUCCAAAUUAAUUCUCCGUGAUUUCUACAAAAUUAGGAAACACGUAGAUCAAAGGUUUAUUUAUAUGAAAAAAAGAAUAUCAUUAUUUGUUUUGUUUGUCCUCUCAUUUAUGUGGAAUUUGAUUUAUUAAAUGAUCACGUACUUGAAUUUGGUUUUGUAAUCUUUCGUCCAUUUAUCGGAAAUUUCAGCAGUAAUAAGCCUGUUCACGAAAACAUUAUUUCAUGUAAUUAGCAGAAUACAAAAUUUAUUGAGUUCGAUUUCUACCACAAAAUAAAGCACCUACAUCAACCUCAUUUAUUUAUUUUAAUCGAAAGGCCGAGAGAUAAUCGAAACUUUGAAUUAUUCAAACACAUACGAAUCCUAAGUUCAAUAUCAUGACAAAAAGUGACGGACAUCCUAAAAGUUCUUUCCCUUAAAAGAAUGGAAAAGUAUUUUUACCUACUUUUGGACCUUUUUUUUUAAAGUCAAACACUAGAUCACAAUUUAGAAUAGUAAAUUUUAAAAGGCCAAAAAUAUAAACAUACCCUCAAAUUUGAUUUUCAUUUUUUUUAUUUUGGCACUUUAAGUUUGUUCCGGUGCUACACCAUUUAACUAGUAUCAAAAUGUAUUAUUUAUGUAAUUACUACGAAUUAAUCUAAGAUUUUUUAUAAAAAAAUAAAAUAAAAUAGACUCUUCCAUCACUUUCCACCGCCUUGUAAUCAAAGGUGCCACAACUAAAGAAAAUAAAAAAUUCUCCCCAUCAUUUCAAUUUUCAUUUAUCUGAUUUGAUCAAUUGAUUCUCGAUUAAUAAAUUAGAGCAUAAAAAACGAACUAAAAUCACAUGAAGGUCAAGUCAAAGUUUAGGAGUCAUUUGACCAUAGAUAAUACAAGUAGUUUUUUGGGUGAGAUUUGGUUAUAAAAUUUGUCAAAGUUUUGGCCAUUAUAUUUAGCCAGAAUCACAAGAUCCCAAAAUCUAGGUUCUUUUAUAAUUUUAAAACCUACUCCAAAUUUUUAUAUUUUAUAAAAUAAAAGGGCUCAUUAAUUAUGAAUCCAACUAUAAUUCUAUAUAUCCAAUUCCUCACUAAAUGCAUUUUUAUUAAAGAGAAUGUUAGUAGAAUAUUGGGAGAUUAUAUUAAAAGAUAUUUAGUUACUAAUGUUAUUAUUAUUUAUUAUUUGCAUUGAUGAAUUUUUGUAACUAACUGUAAUUUGACAAUUUGCAAUAUCUAGUAAAUUAUAUUAUUAGUAGUUUAAUUAAAAUAUUGUAUUAUAGUUUUUGAAUAAUAUAUUAUCUAAUGCAUUACUAAAAUAAUAAUUUUGUGUCGAACUUAUAAAUAUUUUUAAUAGUUCUUCAAACUCACCUCAAUAAUUGAACACUACCAAACCAUUAGACCCCACAAAACAUUUCAUUAAUAGAGUGGGAACUCUUUACGUAUUGCCCAAGCCUAUGAUAUAAACCUCUCCUAGUCCUCUAUCUAUAAAAAUAUCCCUAGUAUUAUUUUCUUCAUAUUCUUAACUCCAUUAAUUAAUUCUCUCCUUAAAUUCCUCCAAUAAAUGUGUAUUGCUUUGAAUAUGUGUUAAUUGGAAUUAUGGAUUCAACGAGCUACGUACACUGAUAUGAUGAUAAAAUUAUAUGCUUAAAUAUAUUAGUAUUUACUUUAUACUUCAUGUGUUAUAUAUUAGUUGAUCAUCUUACUAAAAAUAAUUAUCAAAUAUUAGUUGUCCACCUUACUAAAUCAAGAAAGCAUUUAAUUAAUUUUUUUUAAAGUGUUCACACGUUUGUUUGUGAAAUUCCGAAGAAGUGUUUUAAAGGGUGAAUUAGUAAAAUUAUCUUUUUAUUUAUGAUUUCUUAAUAUACAUAUAAAAAAAAAGAAAAAAUGAUCAACUAAUAUAGAAUGGAGGGAGUAUUGUACCUUACAAACAUGUAUAAAAAUAUCUCUAAAGGUCACAUGAAAUUCUUUAGCAAAAUUACUGAACUUAUAUUUGAUUUUUCCUACUCAAAUAAUGAAUAAAAACUUUAAAAAAGAAAAAGAAAAGUAAAGAUUACAUUUCAGAAAAAGAAGGAACCAAAAAAGAAAGAACUUGUUUAAUUAGGUCAUGGUAUUGGAUAUAUUCUGUGCUGUCCCAUGUGUUUAUUUUGUGUAUUUCAAAAUUUAAAACAGACAUUCCUUAAUUAAAGCCAACUUCAUCAGUAUAAGAUAAACUUCAAUAAUAUCGUUAUAUUAAUUAAUCCACAAUGAUGAAAAAGUCAUCACUAGUAUUUUUGGCCAAAAUAAUAAUUCGAAUUUUUCACAAUUAUAUUCUACGUACUCAUAGUUUACUAUAGUUCAUAUACACCUCAUUUUAACAUAAGUUUUCGUUGGAACUGAAUUCAAUGUUUUAUCAUAUUAUUUGUUUUUACAAUAAUUAUUUUAUUAUAAUUAUUAAAAAAUAUAUCAAAACUAAACGACGUUAUUAUUGAGUAAUUUGAUGUAAAUUGAUUUCUUAAGAUAGCAUCGAUCCUUAGCUUGUUGUCGAGAGGUCAAGUUAAAAGAAUAAUCCCAAUUCCUACUACACAAUUUACAAGGCACGAGAGAUUCAUUCGAUUUUUUUUGACGAAAAAUUACAUUGUUUAUAUAUAAUUUAUAAAUAUGAUACCUAUUGAACCUUUGGACUUCCUGUCUAUUUUCUAUAUUUUGAACUCAUCAAUAAAAAUUUUGAUUCCAUCAUUACGCCAUCUACCUUCCCAAAAAAAAAAAAAAAUCAAACUUAGUGCCUAAGGUAACAAGCUGGUCCCAGCAGCAAAAUUUAUCUCCAAAUACUGCCACUCAAGUUACGCGUAGAGAAAAUUAAAGGUCUACAUGUUUGCUGAAAAGGAAAAUAUUUUCUUUAGAAAAAUAAAUCCCUUAAUAUGCUAAACUUUGACAAUUCAAUACCACGAAAUUUCUUAGCUCAUUCCAUUUUGUGUGCUUAAAUACCAUAAUAAUUUUCAUGAACCAAUAUUAUCAUCUACAUUUUAAGUUUCUUGGCGUAAAAUCUGAAAUAUUACUUGCUGCUUCAAAAAUUCUUUGAAAAAAUGUCGAUAGCUAGUGGUCUUGUUGAGGCCCAUGUCAUGAAAAUGAUUCACAAGGACAAGAUGAAGAAUCUGGAGAAGAAAGAAGCUACAACACAUGAAAAUUGUAAUCAAUUGAAAAAGUCAUCGUCCUCUUCUUCUUCUUCUUGGUUUACUAAGAUGUUCAAGAAAGUACAUCCCGUUACUACUCCCUCCUCGGAUUCUUCUACAAAAAUCAAGAACGUUCUAGCUUCUAGCUAGACACAUUCUAGAGAGUCUUACGUUAAUGGAGAAAACAAAUUGUUAUCUCGUUAUGAACAAUAUUUACUUAAAUAAUUAGUGAUUUAAUUUAUUUUUGUUGAAUUAGACUCCAGAUUCAUUUACAGGACACAAAAUUUGUUAAAGUAUUUUCUUUUACUUUUCUCUCUCGUGUAUAUGGGAUUUGAUUAAUUAAAUAACACAUACUAUCAGAAAUUUCAGCAGUAUAUAUUGAUGAGCUUAUCAGUUACACUAUGUUUAAAUUUUAUAUUUCUCUGUCAAUUCGAAAAUUAUAUUCACCGUCAACCGUCAACAUAAUAUAUAAAUAAUAUCUUUAACCUAUCCUGACCAUGAAAGGAAAUUAAUCUAAGGAAACUCGUUACUAUAGGAAGUAAAUCCAUUAAGCUUAACAUAUUAAAAGUUAAUAAUUUCUUGUGCAAUGAACUCUCUAGAUGCCUAAAAAUAGUAAGGAUCAUAUAGGCUAAAAUAAUAGAAGUGAGUGUUUAACCUAAAAACUCUUUAAUUAAAAGUUGUUUUACCAACUGGUCAAUUAUGAGAUCAGAAUCAAAUUAACUCAUGAAAAUUCAGUAAAGUUUAAUUUGUUCAGUAUUAUGGUUGAUAGCAUUUUUAUCCCUUAAUUAUUGUAAUCUUUUUGAAGCUUAGUCAUUAUAAUAUAUGACUUAAGUAUAAAUAUGCACUUUUGAUUCUUUUGCUCUGAAUGAUCAUAAAUUUUGUGACGUAUUAACUAUUUCAUUAUUUAUGUGAUAUUUGUUAAACGUGUAUUGUUACUUUAUAUUUGGGGGAUCAGAAUUUACUAAUAGAAGGAUAAAAAAUGUUAGUGCAUGUCCCUAGUCUUCUAUUAUUAAUCAAUAAGUUUUUCCUUCACCCCAUCUGUUAUGAGAAGUGAACGUAAAUGAACGAAGCUGAAUUAACACAAAAUCUCCAUUAAUAAGGAGCUAACAUUGAAGGAGAGAAACUCUCAUUGUUUGAGCUCAAAGACUAACUGUUACAAUGCUGGAAAAUACUAUUUAUAGAUUCUAUCUUCUAACUAACUAACUAACUUGAAAUGAAUUAGUUAUAACAAACAAUACAAAAUGUCUAUACUACCCUUGAUCAUCUAGUGAAUUAACCAACUACUCACUACAUCACACUCAUAUCUCAUCACUCCCCUUCAAGUUAGGUGGGGCAAAAAUGUUCAAGACACCUAACUUGGACAAGAGAUAUUCAUGUUGAUAUUUUGAUAGCCCUUUUGUCAAUACAUUUGCAGGCUGCUCUUGUGUAGGAAGGUAGUUAACCUUGAUCAAACCUUGUUGUAGUCUUUCUCUUAUAAAAUGACAAUCGAUCUCAAUAUGCUUUGUCCUUUCAUGAUAUAUCAGAUUUGCAGCAAUCUGUAUGACAGCUUUACUAUCACUAUACACUUGCACUGGUAGCUGCACUUCAGCUUCUAUUUCUUUAAGUAAUCCAAGUAACCAAAUUAACUCUGAAACAAUGGAUGCAAGGCUCCUGUAUUCAGCUUCAACUAAGGCUGGCAAUUGGACAUGAUUUUUUCCGGUCCGGUCCGAUUCCCGUACCGGUAAGUCCGGUACCGGUUGAACCGGUAAGGAACCAGUCUUAUAGGUACCGGAACCGGUACCGAAAUGGAACCCGAUUUUUUAUUCGAUUGGUCCGGUUCGGUAAGAACCGAUUCCGGUCCGGUUCCUGUCCGGUUGAUCCGGUUCAACGGUCAAGUAAUUUAUUUAUUUAUUUUUUAUUUAUUUAAGUUGAAUGUUAUAUAGCCUUUGGACCCUUUUAGCCAUUGGGUUGUGGCCCAAAACGGCUCAAAAUAGCCCCCACCCCUCUCUAACUCCUUUUAGCCGUUGGGCUGGGGCCCAAAACGGCUCCAAACAGCCCCCCACCCCUCUCUACCCCUUAACACUAUAAAUAUACUCAUAUUUUUUCAUUUAAAUCACAAAUUCACAAACUAUUUCAUUAAUAUCUUAUAAUAUCUCUUAAUUUUCAAUCUCUGAUAAAUUCAUAAUUAUUAUUUUGUGAUAUUGACUUGGAGUUCGAAUUUCGGAGAUUUAUUUGAAGUAAAUCGGAAGCUUCAAUUGGCAUCUCUCAAUUCCGGCUUUGGUUAUACGUCUACUUUUACGUAGACGUUCGGUACAUUCGUUCCAACUUUAAUUUUUUAUUUGUUUAUUAAUUAAGUUAUUUUAUUUUUUUUGUUAUAUUAUCUUGCUUGUUUUUCAUAAUAUUUAAUUAUUUUAAACUUGAACAUGAAUUUGGAAAUAAAUAGUGGUAAAAGACUAAUGUCGGAAAGAAAAAAUAAUAGGGGAGGAGGAAGUAGUUCUAGUUCUAAAAAUUUGGCACGUAGAUUUAGAAUUAAUACUAAUGAUUAUACUCAUGUUGAUGAAACUUCUUUUACACGAGACUCACGACCUAUUGAAUUUAAUUCCGAAAAUGAAGUAGAUCAUGAAACUUUAAAUAGAUGUUUUACUAAUUUUGAGGAAGAAUUAGAUGAGGAAGUAGAAAUAAAUAACGAAGAUGAUGAGACCUCUACUCCUACUAGUCUUGCUACUAAAUUUCCGGAACAAGAUGAAGUCCCCUCGUUACCUACUUUUUCAAAGGCCGCUGUACGUGUUAAAAGAUCUUUAGUAUGGAAAUUUUUGGUACAAAAUGAGGAAAAAACUACUGUUACUUGCACGAAAUGUAAAUUGACCAUGAAACAUGUGACUAUGGGUACUACAAGGGGGAAACGGGACGACUAAGAAACGCAUUUGAGAAAUUGUAAUAAAGAAUUUGCUCGCCUAGAUGAUAUAGAAAGGGCUAAUAGAAGUGGAAUACCCAUACCUGAAAAAUUCUAUGGGAGUUAGAGGUUCUAAUAAUGGUUCAAAAGUGUAUUAAAUAUGACUAACCCGGCUAGCCGAAGCACACACCGCACAUCUAGUAAAGAAAAAGAUCGUAUAGAAUUAGCUAAAAUGGUUGUUGUUUGUGGUUUGCCUUUUUUAUUUCCUUCACAUUCUGAUUUUAUUCAGUAUAUUCGGGAAUUANNNNNNNNNNNNNNNNNNNNNNNNNNNNNNNNNNNNNNNNNNNNNNNNNNNNNNNNNNNNNNNNNNNNNNNNNNNNNNNNNNNNNNNNNNNNNNNNNNNNNNNNNNNNNNNNNNNNNNNNNNNNNNNNNNNNNNNNNNNNNNNNNNNNNNNNNNNNNNNNNNNNNNNNNNNNNNNNNNNNNNNNNNNNNNNNNNNNNNNNNNNNNNNNNNNNNNNNNNNNNNNNNNNNNNNNNNNNNNNNNNNNNNNNNNNNNNNNNNNNNNNNNNNNNNNNNNNNNNNNNNNNNNNNNNNNNNNNNNNNNNNNNNNNNNNNNNNNNNNNNNNNNNNNNNNNNNNNNNNNNNNNNNNNNNNNNNNNNNNNNNNNNNNNNNNNNNNNNNNNNNNNNNNNNNNNNNNNNNNNNNNNNNNNNNNNNNNNNNNNNNNNNNNNNNNNNNNNNNNNNNNNNNNNNNNNNNNNNNNNNNNNNNNNNNNNNNNNNNNNNNNNNNNNNNNNNNNNNNNNNNNNNNNNNNNNNNNNNNNNNNNNNNNNNNNNNNNNNNNNNNNNNNNNNNNNNNNNNNNNNNNNNNNNNNNNNNNNNNNNNNNNNNNNNNNNNNNNNNNNNNNNNNNNNNNNNNNNNNNNNNNNNNNNNNNNNNNNNNNNNNNNNNNNNNNNNNNNNNNNNNNNNNNNNNNNNNNNNNNNNNNNNNNNNNNNNNNNNNNNNNNNNNNNNNNNNNNNNNNNNNNNNNNNNNNNNNNNNNNNNNNNNNNNNNNNNNNNNNNNNNNNNNNNNNNNUUGAACCUCCAUCUUGUAGGCCUAGAAGUGAUGAUACGGAUGAUUGGAUGGAUGAUUAUCUUGAGCUUGAAUCAUCUACUAAUAAUGAUUUUGAUUUAUAUUUCAAUCAGGCACGGGAAAAGAUUAGGCAUGAAGAAGGACAACUUCAAGCUCCAAUAUUAGUAUGGUGAAAGAAUCGUGAAAAU